AGAGUUUGAUCCUGGCUCAGAGCGAACGCUGGCGGCGUGCCUAACACAUGCAAGUCGGACGUGAAAGGGAGCAAUCCCAAGUAAAGUGGCGUACGGGUGAGUAACACGUAGGUAAUCUACCCUAGAAUUUGGAAUAACCUGCCGAAAGGCGGGCUAAUACUGGAUAGAGCGACGGAAUCCGUAAUUGGGUUUUUCGGGAAAGGGAGGAAGUAAUUCCCCUCGUUUUGGGAUGAGCCUGCGUCUCAUUAGCUAGUUGGUAGGGUAAAGGCCUACCAAGGCUUUGAUGGGUAGCUGGUCUGAGAGGAUGAUCAGCCACACUGGAACUGAAACACGGUCCAGACUCCUACGGGAGGCAGCAGUGGGGAAUCUUGCGCAAUGGACGAAAGUCUGACGCAGCCACGCCGCGUGAGUGAAGAAGGCCUUCGGGUUGUAAA
rnacentral:rRNA from 1 species